GGAAUAUUGCACAAUGGGCGCAAGCCUGAUCCAGCAACGCCGCGUGGAGGACGAAGGUCUUCGGAUCGUAAACUCCUGUCAGACGGGACGAAGGGACCGGGGUAAAUAAUCCCGGUUCUUGACGGUACUGUCAGAGGAAGCCCCGGCUAACUCCGUGCCGGCAGCCGCGGUAACACGGAGGGGGCGAGCGUUAUUCGGAAUUAUUGGGCGUAAAGGGCGCGUAGGCGGCUUGGCAAGUCAAAGGUGAAAUCCCUCGGCUCAACUGAGGAACUGCCUUUGAAACUGCCUGGCUUGAGGCCGGGAGGGGGUAGCGGAAUUCCCAGUGUAGCGGUGAAAUGCGUAGAUAUUGGGAGGAACACCAGUGGUGAAGGCGGCUACCUGGACCGGUUCUGACGCUGAUGCGCGAAAGCGUGGGUAGCAA
rnacentral:rRNA from 1 species